ensembl:lncRNA
CUUCUGCCCGGUCUUUCUUGCCAAGUAAAAUAUUCCACUUUGCGGUCUGUUUUUAACGCACAGUUAAAAACGGGGACAUUUCCGGGGACAGCUCCAGCCGGGGACAGGCCACCAAAAACGGGGACGCCUGGUCACCCUACUCCAUAUAGCUCCACAUUGACAUGAGUGGGAUGACGGUGCACACAGAGCAGAGUUCUGGAAAUCUCUGCAACCGUAUCCAGAACCUAAUCAGUCACCAUGCUGAUCCAACUGGUCUAAAUCAACCUGGAGUUAAGUCUUGAUUUACAGAAUAAAACAUGUAAAAACCUCUGAAGUCAAUCGGACUCACAACAAGUCAAUGUGUGAUGAGAACACUGAAUCCAGAAUGCUGAUUCUGCUUCAUACCCUGUGUUUUCAUCAUCUCACAUCUACUACUAACGCCAAAGUUAACAGACAUUUAAACUGUCACUUAAUUAUAUAAGCUUUUCAUGAGUGACGGCUGUACAAUUUAGUGUUUAGAUAGUGACCUCACGUAUCUGAAACUUCACCUGGCAGGUUCCAAACAUCUUUUGCACAUCUGAGGUAGAGAGGUCACAGAUGUUCCACAACAGCUUUUCUAAACACCAAAGCUUUGUUUAAUAGAAAGGAAUUACAUGCAUACAGUGAAUUUGGAAAGUAUUCAGACACAUUCACUUUUUCCACACUUUGUUACCUUACAGCCUUAUUCUAAAAUUGAUGAAAUAAAAAAUAAUUGUGAUAUUUCAGUUUACAUUUUUUUAAAUAAAAUUGCAAACAUUUCUAAAAACCUGUUUUUGCUUUGUCAUUAUGGGUUAUUGUGUGUAGAUGGAUGAGGGGGUGAAAACGAUUUAAUGCAUUUUAGAAUAAGUCUGUAAUGUAACAGAAUGUGGAAAAAGUGAAGGGGUCUGAAUGCUUUCUGAAUGCACUGUAUAUUCGCAGUCUGUGCUGGUAUUGGAAUUCUCCUGGCUCCAACGACACAAUCCCCUCAUUAACUGGUCUAUUGGUGUCAUCAUGGGCUGAAGCUCGUUCUGCCAGGCCCAUUGCCUGAAGUCAGCACAACCUGCCCUGGGACGUCUUCCUGGGGAAUUGGAAGGUUCCCCGGACCUCUCCGCCAUUCCCGCGGAGUACCAAAACAUCCGGGAGGUUUUUAACAAGGCCUGGGCCACAUCGUUUCCGCCGCACCGACCCUAUGACUGCGGGAUUGACUUUCUCCCUAGCACCACACUGGGGACGUCUGUACUCUCUGUCGGGACCGGAGACCAAGGCGAUGGUACCUACAUUGGGAACUCUCUAGCUGCUGGAUUUAUCCGUCCCUCUUCCUUUCCCGCCGGAGCAGGCAUCUUCUUCGUGGAGAAAAAGGACAAGACCCUGUGCCCAUGCAUUGACUACCGGGGACUCAACGACAUUACGGUUAAAAAACGUUACCCUCUACCACUCAUCUCCGGCCCUGAUAACCGGAUGUUCGUUCCCGACACUGUCCAUUCCGCAGUCCUGGAGUGGGCCAACUCCUCCAGGCUGGCCUGCCACCCAGGUGCCCGUCAGAUCUUGGCCUUUGUGCAACAGUGCUUUUGGUGGCCUACCAAGGUCCCUGACAUGUCCACAUUUGUCACAGCUUGCACAGUUGUGCACAGAAUAAGACUCCUCGGCAAACUCCGGCUGGUCUCCUCUAACCUCUGCCUGUCCCCCACCGUCUCUGAUCUCACAACUCCCUGGACUUUGUCACAGGUCUUCCCCCAUCUGAUGGCACCACCGCCAUCCUGACUGGUGGAUUGGUUCUCCAAAGCCGCUCACUUCAUUCCUCUCCCCAAACUACCCUCUGCCAAAGAGACGGUCCAGCUCAUGGUGCAGCACGUCUUCCGGAUCCAUGGACUGCCCGUGGA